rnacentral:lncRNA from 1 species
CAAAAAGAAACAGAUUUAAGAAAAAAUACAAGGUAGACAUUAUUCUUAUAAGACUGAUACAUAUAUAGAUGAAAAAAUAAGUACAAAAUUAGUACAUAACUCUCCGAGUUCUUAUCGAUUCCUUCCAUAUCCUAUCAAAAUUCAAGAGUCUUCUUCAUCUACUUUAACUAUAGAAUAAAAAUAAUAAUAGCCUAAUAAUCUUGGUAGGGAUUUCAUGAGAUAAAGAAGUUGAAUUUAUAUAGAUAGAAUAGAAGGAAUAUCAAAAGAUAUCUUAAAGUGCUAGUUUAAAUAUUUAGAGGUUAUGAAUAUGAAAAGAUGAGAGUUAUGAAUAUUAAGAGUAUAAAAGUUGAAUAAGUAAUUAGAAAAUAAUAGUAAAUAAAUGAAGAAUAUGAAAAAGAAAAUUAAAGUUAGCAAACUAUGUAGAAAAAACAACUAAAGUUCUUAUCACGUAAUUAAGCAUCAAUGAAUUUAAAUUUGUGAAGCUAGAGUCAUUCUUUAAUAAUAAUCAAGAGGACAUUAUCAAUGUGUGCGUCUCCAUUUUGCAGAUUUGCACCCUUCAAAUUAUUAAAUUUCGUUAGUUAUCAUAAAGGAUAAUACUUUAUCCACAUAAAUUAUAUUAAAGGAAAAAGUUAUGAGAAGAG